rnacentral:tRNA from 1 species
GGGCUUAUAGUGUAAGGAAUAGCACAAGAGGUUUCUACCCUUUUAGACCAAGUUUGAAUCUUGGUAAGCCCU